GUGUUCUGUGGCCCUGCUGACAGAGGCUCCCCUUGGGCAGCCCUGUACACACUCAGCUUCUUCCCACAAUGCCACCUGUACCUGACACUCAGUAGGCCAUCAGCUCACUACACAAGCUAUCCCUCUGGCAAGAAAGCUCAUGGACCAACACAAAGAGAAUACCAAAGAAGAGGCUUGAAUAAUUCAACAAAGAGCCAGAGGAGUCCAGGCGCCUCACACAGGCCCUGGCUGAAACUCAAAGGAAACCCAGAAAAUGGGAAUCCACAGAAAGUCUCUGCAUGAAGAUUAAAAUCGCCCUGUGAUAAAACAACCUCAUGUAUCAGAGUCAGAGACUGCAGAAAAUAAGAAAAUCCCGCCAAGUAAAUUGGAAGUAGGUCAGGAGGACCAGGGAGAAAACACAGUGAAAACGAAGUCCAUAGAAGAAAAUUGAAAGAUAGCUGUGAAUUAAGUGUGGGAGAAGCUGUAGUCUGUUCCCUAGGAAACAUGAUGAAACUUCCUCAGCUCAACUUUGGGGCUCAUCCGUGGCCAACUUUACCCAGAGAUCACCUUCAACAUGGCUCACACAGUAUGGAGACUCCCUGAAGCCUUCCAGGACACAGGCUAGGGUGUGUGGUGAGAUCUGACAUCCCCCCAACCUGCCUUCAUCAGGAACGCUGUGAGCUUGGUGACCCUGGCACCUCCUCUUGGUGACUUUGCACACCAAUCCAACAGCUCUGGUGGGAACUCCCACUGCAUGAGCUAUGCCUGGAAUCUCCCUUCUCCCUGCGAGACUCCAUCAUGGCACACCCACUGAAGACCCUGAAUAAAGGCUGCCCUGCUGUGCUUCAGCACACACCAUCAAAAAGGAGUAGACUGCACCACCCCCAGCAAGAAAGAAGCAACAUAAACCACAGAUGUCGCUGGCAGCUCCUCGGCUUCUCCGGCUUCCCCGGCUUCUGGAACAUGGCCCAGCCCGAGAUCAGGAAGCCAGUCGAGGAAGACUGCUGCCUUGGCUAUUUUCCUUGUGGCUGUGACAAGAUGCUUGACCAAAAGAACGAUUUAACCAGGGUCAUGGCCCAAGAGCAUGGUCAUCAUGGUAGUCGUGGUGGCCGGACCAUGUGGCAGCUGAUCCCAUAGUGCCCCCCGUCAGGAAGCAAUAAACUUUGUCCUUA